UGGGCGGUGGUUUUCUUUCCGUUCACUUCUGCGGGGCAAAUAGAUUAAGCUCCCAUCGGUGAGUACUGAGGCCGGUCACUAGGGUGAACGAGACCGACAAUUUCCGUCGUCUGAAGGUUAUGACAAAUUCAGCUCGUCGUCAGACCUGACAAACCAUGUCUUCCCACAACUGGUUCCACCUGUUGGUGUGUCCUCUUUCCUCCAUCUCCAGGGAAACUGAAUCUCCACACAAACCCCUCACUUGAGACGACUGUCUGUACCCGUGACACAGGAAAUCACAUGACUGUCACUCUCCUGAUACCAUCCGGGAAACGGUACUGCAACAUAAAAGCCAGGACCAACAGGCUCCGGGACAGCUUCUUCCACCAGGCCAUCAGAUUGAUGUACCAACGCUGAUCUGAGUGUACUCUAUAUUACAUUGUCUGUUUUAUUUAUUAUAAACUAUUAUAAAUUACUAUGAUUGCACGUUGCACAUUUAGAUGGAGACGUAACGUAACGAUUUUUACUCCUGAUGGAUGUAAGAAAUAAAGUCAAUUCAAUUCAA